AGAGACCUUAUGUAUGUGAUGUGUGUGGCAAAACGUUCAGGAACAAUUCAGGUCUCAAAGUCCAUCGGAGGCUCCAUACUGGGGAAAAACCAUAUAAGUGUGAUGUGUGCGGGAAAGCCUAUAUCUCACGCUCAAGCCUUAAAAAUCACAAAGGAAUCCACCUGGGGGAGAAGCCCUACAAAUGCAGCUAUUGUGAGAAAUCUUUCAACUACAGUUCUGCCCUUGAACAGCAUAAAAGGAUUCAUACAAGGGAGAAACCCUUUGGGUGUGAUGAGUGUGGAAAAGCCUUCAGAAACAAUUCAGGCCUUAAAGUACAUAAACGAAUUCACACAGGGGAGAGACCUUACAAAUGUGAAGAAUGUGGAAAAGCCUACAUCUCACUCUCAAGCCUUAUAAAUCAUAAAAGUGUACACCCUGGGGAGAAGCCCUUUAAGUGUGAUGAGUGUGAGAAAGCCUUCAUCACAUACCGAACCCUUCUAAACCACAAAAAAAUUCAUCUUGGAGAAAAGCCCUAUAAAUGCGAUGUGUGUGAGAAAUCAUUUAACUACACCUCACUCCUUUCUCAACACAAAAGAGUUCAUACUAGAGAGAAGCCCUUUGAAUGUGACAGGUGUGAGAAGGUCUUCAGAAACAACUCAAGCCUUAAAGUGCAUAAAAGAAUACACACUGGGGAGAAGCCGUAUGAGUGUGACAUAUGUGGAAAAGCCUACAUCUCACACUCAAGCCUUAUUAACCAUAAAAGUACACACCCUGGCAAGACGCCCUAUACAUGUGAUGAAUGCGGAAAAGCAUUUUUCUCAAGCAGAACUCUCAUAAGCCAUAAGAGAGUCCAUCUUGGGGAAAAACCCUUCAAGUGUGUUGAGUGUGGGAAAUCAUUUAGCUACAGCUCACUUCUUUCCCAACACAAGAGGAUCCACACAGGGGAGAAACCUUAUAUAUGUGACUGGUGUGGGAAGGCCUUCAGGAACAGCUCAGGCCUCACGGUACAUAAAAGGAUCCACACAGGGGAAAAACCCUAUGGAUGUGAUGAAUGUGAAAAGGCAUACAUUUCACACUCAAGUCUUAUCAAUCAUAAAAGUGUCCACCGUGGAAAGCAGCCCUAUAAUUGUGAGUGUGGGAAAUCUUUCAAUUACAGAUCCGUCCUUGACCAGCACAAAAGGAUCCACACUGGAAAGAAGCCAUAUCGAUGUAAUGAUUGUGGGAAGGCAUUUAAUAUCAGAUCAAACCUUACCAAGCACAAAAGAAUCCAUACAGGGGAGGAAUCUUUAAAUAUGGCAAAUAUGGAAAGUCACAGUGGCACAUUCCAGAAGAGGAUCUACUAUGAGGGAGGGAAUGCUCUGGAUGGGACCAGGAUGCAGAUGCCUAUGUGGGAGGCAGAGCCUGCCAAGUCUCAAAGGAAUCAAAUAGAAGAAAAACUUUAUGAAUGUAAGAAUUUCUGAGGUCUUUAGUCAUGGCUUAUAAUAAUCAUAGUGUGAGUGAAAGAAUUCUGAGUGAUCAUGAGCAAUUCCUUCCACGUGAUUCAGUCAUAGCAGGAACAGUUCUAGUGUCACAAUAGUUGAGCCCUUUAGGAAUAUAAAAUACCACUGGAUAUAAAACCUUUCAAAGUGAUGGAACUCUUAAAAAAUGUAGUCUGGACAUAGAACAUAAAGAUAAAGGUCUUUAGUUAGAAAUCUUAUUCACCACUACAAAGAUCCUAUUUGGAUAAAUAAGUGAAUAAGAAUGUAGAAAGUUGGUAUAAUUUUGACCUCUAUACUUUGGUCAGUGGAAAAAAGAUCCAAGAAGGGCCUCUAAUAGGCAAAUUCAGGGAGAGGAUGGUUUCAGGGAAUAUCAGUUUAUUAGUAGUCAUGAAAUUAUAGACUUAACAAUAAUGGUUUGUGGUAGGAAGAUCACAACUUCUGAAACAAUUUAGAUGUCUUAGGAAAAGGCAUAGUCAAAUCUGUGACAUAAUCACUUUAAAAUGCAUAUUAGUUGGAGUAUACUAUUAUACUAACUGAACUGGUAAGACUAGAGUUUCAAAUCAAUUCCCUUAAUAUGUAAUAGAGAUAAUAAAUGAUGACCUGGGAGGUGGCAUUCACAUAUACUGAGAGAGCGGAAGGAUUUCAGUAUCUUCAGUUAAGUAAGGGAACACAUCUUCAACAUGAAUUUGCACCUUACAGGAAAAAUUCAGGGACUCCUAUGAAUUAAAAAAAAGUCUCAAAGGAAGGCAUUUUAUUACAAGAGCUAAAUAAGUACCAGUAAUUAAGAAGAAAUUCAUGUCUUAAAAACAAUAUUGUUCUAGGUUCGGUCCCCAGCUCCGAAAAAAAGAACC
rnacentral:lncRNA from 1 species